UUCUAGCUCCACAGCAACAGGGGUGAAAGUAAUAUAAAAUUCUUACCAGUACGGGGGCCUGGAGCAGGCCCCUGGAAGGGGCGGGGCCUUGGGCAGAAGG